GGGGCUGCGGGAGCUGCUGUGACGUCUGUCCGCGUUAUCUGCCCGUGCUGGCGCCGGGAAAGCAGGAUUUUGGCUUGUUCCGGCAGGAUUGUCCCCUUAUCUCCCUGCAGAAGGUGUCGGCACGAGGAAUUACUACAGGAAGAUCGGCUACGAGCUGGAAGGGCCCUACAUGGUGAAAAGGUUGGAAUGACGCUCCGGCGGAUCCGGGAGGAGGAGCGGGAGACGACGCCUAUCCCGGGAAUCAGCCCCGAGCCAAACACCAAAGCUGCCAAUGCCAAGGAUUUGCUUCCAGCAAUAAGAUGGGAUUGGACUUGGAGAUCCUGGUGGGUCCCUUCCAGCUCCGGAUAUUCCCUGAUUCCAUGGAUUGGGGGCGGGGCAGCUCGUUUUUCCCCCAGAGAGGUCGGGAAUGUUCCAGGUGUCUGGAACCACCUCCUUUGGGAUGCUGUUGGAGGGGCUUUUCCUGCCAUUAAAAUCCCGUGGGGGUUUUUUUCCUGCAAUCCCAAUAAAAUUCUUUCCCUGGGCUCUGU